CACUCCUACGGGAGGCAGCAGUGGGGAAUUUUGGACAAUGGGCGAAAGCCUGAUCCAGCAAUGCCGCGUGUGUGAAGAAGGCCUUCGGGUUGUAAAGCACUUUUGUCCGGAAAGAAAUCCUUGGCUCUAAUACAGUCGGGGGAUGACGGUACCGGAAGAAUAAGCACCGGCUAACUACGUGCCAGCAGCCGCGGUAAUACGUAGGGUGCGAGCGUUAAUCGGAAUUACUGGGCGUAAAGCGUGCGCAGGCGGUUUGCUAAGACCGAUGUGAAAUCCCCGGGCUCAACCUGGGAACUGCAUUGGUGACUGGCAGGCUAGAGUAUGGCAGAGGGGGGUAGAAUUCCACGUGUAGCAGUGAAAUGCGUAGAGAUGUGGAGGAAUACCGAUGGCGAAGGCAGCCCCCUGGGCCAAUACUGACGCUCAUGCACGAAAGCGUGGGGAGCAAACAGGAUUAGAUACCCUAGUAGUCCC
rnacentral:rRNA from 1 species